rnacentral:rRNA from 1 species
AUGGCGUCGGCGUCGUCGUCGUCGUCCGCGGCCGCGAGGAGGACGCCCCGCGGCGGCCCCCCGAAGCACCGCCACGACGGCACCUCGCCGCUGCCGCUCGGCAUGGACUGGAGCCCGCCCCCCAAGCGAUGGGAGGGAAGGAACACCGUCUGGCCACAUAACCCUCAAACAGGCUGGAGUUACUGUGUGACGAUACCUUCUUGGAUUGCUCAAACACCCGAAGCUGGUGUAGCCUCUGACAACUUCUUGAAAUCUAUAGUUUUUUACAGGAUACAUGUUGGUAUACAAUCACCGGAAGGCGUUAGCUCUAGCCAUGGAGUUCUUCGAAGGUUUAGUGACUUUCUGAAGUUGUGUUCUGAUCUUAAGCGUGCUUUUCCCAGAACAGACAUCCCCCCUGCUCCACCGAAACAUGCCUUCUUAAGAAUAAAUUCAAGCAGGUUGCUUCUAGAAGAGAGAAGGAAUACUUUGGAGGAGUGGAUGCAAAAGCUACUUUCUGAUAUUGACUUAUCGAGAAGUGCUCAUGUUGCUGCUUUUCUUGAACUUGAAGCUGCCGCACGCUCAUAUUUCCAAGAUUGGAAUCAGCGUCCCCCCGAAGCAGGUACUUCAAUAAAAAGCAGUACAGACUCUUCUCGUCAUUCUGAUGAUCCUGGUUCAGGUGCUCUCUCUGAGUCCAGUCAAAUAAACCCGGGACUUGUUCGUAGCAUCAGUCUGACAGGAGUAACUGGUAACGGUGUGCUGGGAGAAUCUGUAUCAGGUCAGUCUGAUCAGCAUGCUGGUAGUGUGUCAAAAAGCAGGAAACAGGGUCUUGUCUUUUCGGAACAUGAUGGAAGGAAUGGUUCAGUAGAGUCUUCCAAGGGAGUAGUUUCUGAAGAGGAUUGUGAUUCUAACCCUGGUCAUGCUCGGAAGGAUUCUUCUGAAAGUUUAGGCAGUGAUUUGAGUUCUUUAAGAGGAAGUGAAUUGUCAACUCCAGGGGCUAGUAGUUCCCUAUGGGAUGGUCCUGUGGAUCUCCCAAGUGGUGUGGAUGGACAUAGUCAAACAGAAAAUCUUGCUGGUGUAGAUAUGCAGUUUUUGUAUGAUAUGGAUGCCCAAGUCAUCCUACCAACUGAUCAAAGACAGAAGUUGAGUAGACUUUUGGUAACCAUGCAAAGAAGAAUAGGGACAGCAAAAACCGAUAUGGAGGAUCUCAUAGCACGCCUAAAUCAGGAAGUAGCGGUCAAAGAAUAUCUUUCCACAAAGGUAAAAGACUUGGAGGGUGAGUUGGAAGCUACAAAGCAAAAAGGCAGAGACACAUUACAUCAAGCUAUCUUAGCUGAAAGAGAGAGGAUUACCCAGAUGCAAUGGGAUAUGGAUGAGCUUCGCAGGAAGUACUCUGAGAUGGAGUCAAACCUGAAGGCGGAACAAGAUGAGAAAACUCGUGUGGAAUCAGAGAAAGCUACCGCCAGUGGUAAUAGAGAAGAGUUAGCCGAAGAACUUGAAACGAAACGAAAAGAAGUUGAGAGUUUGCAACGGCAGCUUGGAGAAGUUGAGGCAAAAUCUAAAACAGAUAUGAAGGUUCUUGUUAAAGAAGUCAAGUCCCUUAGGAAUUCUCAAAGAGAGAUGAAGAAAGUGCUGAAUCAGUAUGUUGAGGAGAAGACUGAACUAGAGAGGAUUAUUAAUAGAGAGAAGCAGCGGUCAGCACGUGUGAAGUCAUCCCGUGAAAAAAUGCUUCAUGAAUGCCGACUGCUCCGUGAGCGUCUACAGGAAUGUAGUGCUAAAUUUCUUGCAGAAGAACAAGAUAACUUGACUGUUGACCCAUCAUCUUUGCCUGAUGCACUAGACCUUCUGGCGACGUCAGACAAUAGAAUACGCCUUCUUGUUGCUCAGGCUCAGCAUCUAGCACUGGACGACGAACAGGGGGGCUCUUCCGAUGAUGGCGAAAAUUCCGAUGGUAAAUCCUCAAUUACCAUGGGCAGCGAAGACUCGAGCCUCACCGACGAAGAGACAACAAAGAUGCUGUCCGACCUGCUCAUCGACAACGCGCAGCUGAGGAUGCACCUCAACUCCGUGAUCCGCAACGCUGUAAAUACCUCCGUGAAGCCGGGGAAGGAAGACGCGGACGGAGUCGUCCCGAAAAAGACGGUCCUCAACUGGCUGCUGGACAGAUAG